rnacentral:lncRNA from 1 species
UUUUUUUUUUUUUUGUACCAUUAUGUAGAUACACAAGGCAUUAGUUGUUGGUGUUUUAGGUUGCCCUUUCUAUUUUAUCUGUUUUUUAAUUGAAACAUAGGAUCAACCAUUCAACUCCUGGUAAUGACUCCUUGAUUACCGAAUUCUAUUUUUGCUAAAAUACAAAUGUUGAUUCAAAUCAUUCUGCUAUGCAGCAGUCAUAUCACCAAUUCCAUCCUCAGAAGAAUCUUUUGGUUUGACACCAUCAGAUGUGUUUGGUCACAGUUCUAAGAGAGUUGCCUUAAUGUCUGAUUGUCUGUAUAUUAUGACUGUUACCUUGGAAAACUGAAGUUCUUAAAUUGAUUCACAUUUCACUUAAAAUAUUACCUUCAAAUCUACAUCAUCAGAAAUAAUUUGAUUUGCAUCUCUUCCACAGUUUGCACACUUCAGUUAUGCCUUCCGUUUUUGCUCCUUUCCUCCUUCAAAAUUGUGCUAAUUUUUGGUGUUAUAUUGUCAGAGCUUGCAUAAAUUGGAAAGUUGUUUUUUAGCCAGGUUUUAACUUGGUGUGUGAUUAUUUUAUCAUUCUCCACCCCAGGGAUGCGCAUACUAUUGGCUUAGUAAAAUACAGAGAACCAUAUCCAUUUGGUGUGGAUCCCAGUUGGCGGGGAAGUCGUUCAGAGUUGCCUUUUCUAAACUCUCUCAAGAUGAAGAUGUCCAUUCUGCUGGGUGUGGUCCACAUGAACUUGGGAAUUCUUUUAAGUUAUUUCAAUGCUCGUUUCUUUGGCAACUCUCUGGAUAUAAGGUGCUCACUUUUCUUCCAAAUUCUCCCAGCAGUUUUUGUUUUGCUUUCCUUUGAGUAGAACGUUAUAACUUAAUCUUCAUAAUGCUUUUAGGUACCAGUUUGUGCCACAGAUUAUUUUCCUUAACUGUCUAUUUGGGUAUCUUUCCCUUCUCAUUGUUGUCAAGUGGUGUACUGGCUCUCAGGCAGACCUUUAUCAUGUAAUGAUUUACAUGUUUUUAAGCCCUUUUGACAAUCUUGGUGAGAAUCAAUUGUUCUGGGGCCAAAGACCACUUCAAGUAUGAUUCACUUCUUUGCUUCUUUAUUGCUUAAUAAUUCUUGUUCCAUUUCAUAUUUUACAUUAUUCUGAAUUACUGUUCAUGAUAUGCAGGUUGUGUUAUUGCUUUUGGCUGUAAUUGCAGUUCCAUGGAUGCUCUUUCCAAAACCAUUUAUACUAAAGAAACUUUAUAAUGAGGUGCCACUUUUGCCUCCCAUGUGUGAUUUUAUUGCUUGAAAAUUGAGAACUUUGUUCACUAAAAUUCUUGUUUACACGUUAAUAUGCCUACAUUACAUAUAUAUCCUUGUUGGUUCAAUUUUCCCCUUUCGGCAGGAUUUUGCUUAAGAUUGUCAAAUUUAAAUUCUCUUUUGAGGUCCAUUAUAAGAUCAUUUUUCUUUAGACUAAAAUAUGCUAGUUUCAAAUCACUUACAACUUCUAUUGGCUAUACAGACAUUGUUUUAGCUAUAUAGUUGCCCUUGUCCUAUACUUUUGAUGGCAGCUAGUUAUUAAAGAAGCAAUGCUGGGAGUUUGUGAAGAUUAUUAAUCUUAUAUCUUUGAUGAUAAUAUAGAGAUUUCAAGGACGCACUUAUGGUGUGCUUAAUACCUCUGAGGUUGAUCUUGAGUUGGAACCAGAUUCUGCUAGGCAAUAUCACGAGGAAUUCAAUUUCAGUGAGGUCUUUGUUCACCAAAUGAUUCACUCCAUUGAGUUUGUUCUAGGUUCAGUUUCAAAUACAGCCUCAUAUCUACGACUUUGGGCAUUAAGGUUUGGUCAGCUAUGAUUGUCUCAUUAAUUACAUUGGGUCCUUAUUUUAUCAAUUUUUUUUAUCCUUGGUUGAUAUUUUUUUACCACUAUGCAGCUUAGCUCACUCAGAACUUUCUACCGUUUUUUAUGAGAAAGUCCUGCUACUUGCUUGGGGGUGAGUUUGAUUCAUAAACUUUCAUUAAUACAAUGUACUAUUUUUUGAGCUCUUUAUUGAGAUUUUCUAUUUCCUUUAUUUUUUUUGGAUCCCCCUCCCCAUCCAAUGUGCAUUCUGUCAUAGACAACAAAACUAUAAUUUAUAAUUAAACUUGUCUGAAUGGUUAUCAUGAAAUGCCAAAUAAAGGAAGGUUUUAAUAGCCAACAAAACUUCACCUGAUCUUUGGGCAGAGAGGAAUCUAAGUACAGCAUCGGGAAAAUGUUGUUAUAUUUUUAUUGUGUGAAGUGCGAACAUGAAGAGGAAGGGUGCUGACAAUAAAUGCCACCUUUUAUAUUUAUCAAAUUGCUUAACAUUGUUAUUUCAAAGUACCGUUUUAUGUUUGGUCUUGGGUGGCAAUAGCAUACCUUAAUUUUGAAAUAUUUUCUUGUUACCCUGAAAGUAACCUUUAUAGAUAUUACUAUUCCUAGUUUGAGAUCUUUGUAUGGAAUGUGUAUCAUUGUUGCUGACAGUUAGAAACUUUUUAAUAGGAGUAAGUCAGUAAGAUAUUUUUACGGUGCAGAGUAGUUUUUGAACAGAUAAAUGUAUUUAUGGCUUAUUCUAUAGGUGCUAUUUUCAUUAAAAUUUAUAGCGGACAAAAGUAUCUUAAUCAAUAUACUACUAGUGUAGCCAUUAAUGUAUUUUGCACCAGCCACUUGCUAGUUUAGAUUAGUGUGACUUCUGACGAGCCCCUGAUUAGGAGUUGUGAAGAUAAAACUAUGCAACUAGUCUUCUCAUAUUGUAAAUAUAAAUAUUUUGUGUUUUUUGAGUUAAAUUGAAGAAAUUAUAGUGAAACUUAACUCAUCUGUUUGAAAAAACGCUGUCAUGUCUGCAUUCUUUUAUUGGAUAUUAUUAGGCUUUAGAAUUAUCCAUGUAUUAUAUUUGCAUUCCAUUUUAGCAUUUAUCUUUUUUAGUAUCAUUUUUCUAUAUUUAAUUGUUAAUGUCAUUGCUGAUUACAAUGACAACAGGUAUGACAAUCUUGUCAUUCGGUUAGUGGGGCUUGCUGUUUUUGCCUUUGCAACUGCCUUCAUACUAUUAAUGAUGGAGACUCUCAGUGCUUUUCUUCACGCCUUGCGUCUUCACUGGGUAGAAUUUCAGAAUAAAUUCUACAGCGGUGAUGGCUACAAGUUCAAACCUUUUUCCUUUGUCUCCUUAACAGAGGAAGAAAAUUGAUAUCAAUUUUUGUCUGUCUUGGUCUAUUGGCAAAUACGUGCAAAGAGUAUAUACGCAAGUAGAAGGAACACGGCAAGAAUUUGUGGGAUUCAAUUUAGUGGCUAUGGGUCAACAAUAUUCAAGCUCGUUUUCCCGUGGCUAUGCUGGUGUGACAUUUUUCGACCAACAAUAUUGGACUGCAUCUGUAACAGGAUAUUUACUUUCCAAUUUUUCUUUAGGUCUUGCUAAUCAAUGUUGUUAGAGUAAUGAUUAAGGAACUAAAAGGAGAAAGUAUUUAAUGUGAAAAACAUAUAAGAGCAUAAAAAAAAAGUUAUGGACAACAUAAUUUUAUGCAUUUCAAUAAAAUUUCUCCUUUUAGUUUUUUAACCAAUGUCUUAAAGACAGUGAUUACCAUUUGCCUUUUUCUUUUCCUUUCUUAGAGUAGGAAAACGGGUAGAGAUUAGGGAAGUAAAAUUUAGACUAAUUUUGUAAAAAAAGAAGUUGAUCUUAGUUUAGCUAUUGGUUAUUUGGGGUUACAAAUAUACACAUAAUGUAACGCGGGCUUUCCUAGGAUGUAGUCAUGUAGGUGUUGACUCUGAUUUUGUUUUUUUUUUGUAAUGAUUAAUCACAAGUUAUAAUCCCAUCUCUUUUGCAAGGUUUAAUCAGAAAACAGGAUGCCAUCUUUAUGAAUUUGUGUCAUGAUAAGCCGGCCGGACCCUAGGAAAAAAGUUUGAAUUAGUUUGCGAGCCUCUUCGGUAAUGAAUACACAUGUCUUUUUUUAUUACUUUUAUUUCCAGUUCUGUCUGGUUUUGUUCUUUUUUUUGCUGCAUACUGUCUGGUUUUGUAUUAUGAGUAAUUCAUUCAUUCAAUAUUACAUGCAAUUACAUUAUAUGUAUAAAAAAUCGUAUUACUAUGUCCCUCAAUAACAUAAAAGAUUUCAUGUAAACAGCAUUUUAAAUACUCAUUUUAUAAAGAAAUAAAAAUAAUGAUAAUAGUAAAUAGAAUCUAAUGUAGGAUGAAAUGGAGUUAGAAUUCCAAACGAAAAUAAAAUGCAUAUGAAUUGUGUAUUAUUUCUAAUUAUCUCUAGCAAUUCCUAAUAUGAAUGUUCUGAAAUUAUAAUUAGAGUUAAUUACAUUAAUCCUCUUGAGAUUUGCAUUAGUUGUACUUCUCUUUUUUUCUAACCUACAUAAAACUCCCUAAUUUUUUGGGUCUCGUAACGGUAACACCCCCUGUCCCCUUAACAUCAUUAAAUUGUUAACGGACUUGUGCAUAUGAGUGGCACAUAAUUUUUUAAUAAUGUUUUCUUCCAAAAACACCCUCAUCCCCUUCCUUGAGCACUUCCAAUUUUUGUUACGAAAUUUCAGCAACUAUCUCUCUUCAAUGAAUUAUAUUUUCAUUACGCAAUGCACACUACACUCUUCAAUAAAACACAACAUCAUAAAACACAAAAUUGAACCUUUAUUCUAAAAUUCCAGCAACGUGAGAUGAACUAAACGACACUAGCAAGACAAAAACUUAAACAGAUGGAACCUUAUUCAAAAAACCCAAAACUGAGAUGAAUAAUAUCACACCAGCAACUUCCAAAACCAACAUUUAUAUUCAUGAAAUUGUAUACUUAACCUACUUCACCAAACAUAAAAGCAAGAUUAAAAAAUUCACUAAUCAUUCCACAAAAUUAUCCACCGAGGAAAUUUUCUAAAAUGGGUAAUUAGUCGAAUAAAUGGAAACGUUGCAUUCUUCGCCAACGACUUUGCCGUCUUCGUCCACCACUUCUUCGACGCGCUCGGCCUCUCCCCCUCAAGAACUAUGCCGACACCAAAAAAACACAACCCGGAGCUCAAACCCCGAUUCCCUCACGCAAGAAAAAGUCGUCGAUCAGAUCUCUGUUGUCCUCGAGCUCCUUUGCCUCCACCACCGCAACGUCUGGUUCAAGUGGCAGCAGCGCCUCCCAUGCGUCAUCACCAAACUGUGCGUCCUCUGUUAGAAAAAUAAAAUAAAAUAAAAGGAAUAAGUAAGAAUAACAUCAAAAGCCUUAAACUAAAUAACAAACCAAUAAUAACAAAGGAAGAACUUCAGAACAUGGAUUGAUGAUACAACUAGGAAAAUUUGAUUUUACACCUCUCUCAAUAUAAAACAAUCCGUUGAAUUGAUUCCCAUCAUCUACAAGAUCCCGAAAGUUCUUGCUCUUAAUAACUUUUUAUAAAAAAUAAGAGAAGAAAUUUAGAAAAAAAUAAGUUUUUUCUAUUUGUGUCACUUGGAUAGAGAGAGUGAAGUGAUAUAUAUAUAGAGAGAAAGAUAGAUAGAUAGAGCCCAAGUGUGAUAUCUUACAAAAAAAAUGCAACAUCUUUUGAAUGUUAACAAACCAACUAUAAAGCAAACAAAGAUACUUCAACAAGUGCAACCUAAAGGAUAAAAAAGAAACUUAAAAAAGCAAAUAUUUACUAACAUUCUCCUAUAUAAUUUAAAAUUUUAAAAUAUUUUAAAAAACACAAUUUGUGUAGAAACAUAAAAGAAAAAAAUGUAAUAUUGUAUUUCAGUAUAAGAAACCUUCCGGAUUUGAGUCUUAUACCUAGUGUUUAUGAACUUUCACCCGAGAAAGAUGUAGAGACUUACUUGUUUUGAACUACAUCUUCUUUAAUCAAAUUUUAGUACAUAACUUUUAAGUUCUAAUCAAUGGAUGUGCGUUACAUGACAUUCCGCAUGUAUCUUAUUUCGUAAGUGUCACUUAAAAAUUAGUUCAUAUCUCAUCGUGGCAGCCUCACCACCUCACUUACUAGAUGAAUCCUCAAAGAGGGGUUUGUGACUCCCAACCCUACAAUAAUUAUCAUCGGAUCCAUUAAGAAGUAUUUUUUUUAGACAAAAAAAAUAACAUUUGUAAAUACCUUAACCUUAAUAUUGUCACAAUUUACAAUACACCUCGUCAUAGGAAUAAGAAACGGAACAACUUCACAAAAUUUUAUUUUAGUGUACUUUAGUCAACAAACAAUUUUGUUAUUACCCGUUGAACUCUACUCAUGAGAUCACCAAUCACACAGAGAGAAGUAUCCAUUGUUGUGACUAAAUAAUGAACUCUAGUCUCAUUCCCUUCGAUAACUCAAGUACUUGUUGGCGCAUCAACCCUUUUGUACACGGAUCUACAAUAUUAUUUUCUGACCUGACAAAGUCAAAAGAAAUAACAUAAUGAGAAAUCAAAUUUCUGAUAGACUUAUGUCUCACUCUUGAGUAUCUCAUUUUUUCAUUAAAAUUUGUGUUAGUAACUUUAGAAUAAGACAUUGACAACAAGGAAAUUUUUUUAGGGUUAACACAGUUUCAGAUAAAAAGAGUAGCAGUGACAAUUGACCAUAAAUUUUACCGCUGUAUGUUGAGGCUGCUCUGCAUCAGCAUGUGCAUCUGCAAGUGCUUUGUCCAUAGUCGUUGCUGCCACCGGCUGUUGGGGAACAUAUGCUUCAACAAAUGUGUCAUCGCGCACCGUAGGUGGAUGUCUAGGAAGAUCCCCAGUCUAUGCGGUAGUCAUGAAGGGAUGAGAUAUCAUGUAAAACCACUCCAUAUAGUCUGCAACACAUUGUUCAGGCGCAAGACAUAUCUAACCCACCGGCGCAAGGUAUUUAGAAAACUGAAUCUAUCUAUCAUCAAUCUCUUAUGCAGAUAGACAUAGAGCAGCAGGGUGUGGUGGAAUGGUCUACACGUACCCAAACUAUUGCACAACCCUCUAUAGCCGGUGUAUGACAAUAGAUGGACCCCAAUGGAUGUGUCCGAAAAAUAAAGAGAUCGGCUCAAACUCUCUGAAUGCGUGGUGGUCACCAUAGGAAAUCCAACACACAACAUUAGAUGUCAAUCUAUCCAGACACUUACGAUAUGUCGACACUGGUAAUGCCUGCCUAGACUUUCAACGACGAGCACGUGGUUUCCUCUCAUCAUAAUCUUCAGCAGCAAUAGCAGAAACAACUGAAGGAAAAUGCUCGUAGAUUCAAUCCUACACGUAUUUUAAAAACAACAAAACAAUCAAAACAAAUACUCAAUAUAAACUAAAGAACUAAAAAUAAAUUAAAAAAAAAUAAAAUUACUUGUAAAAAUGUGAUAUAUCCUACAAGUUGUCUGGCGUUGCUCUUUGACGCAUCAUUCAAAUUGUGAUACAUAUGGACCAGUGCAACAACUCCCCAUGCGUAGCUUUCACUUUGCUUCAGGUCACGAAAUGUGUCCACGAAUACCACAUGCACGUCUGUGACAUUCUUGUUAGCAAAGAGUGUGUAACCUAACAUAUGCAACAAAUAUGCUCAAGUUGUCACAGUCCACUAUGCUGCAUCACAUUUACUUUGAUAUAUGUCUCGCAGCCAGGAUAGACAAACAUAUGCCUCGUGGUAUUGUACCGUCUCAGUUCCUGCCUCUUUAGAACUUACUCAAGCAAUUCAACUAAGAGGAAGACGACAUCAUCCACAUGAACAUCCUCAAAGCUAUGGAAGACGCUUGUAUUGGACAGAUGUAACAACAAUGCCACAUCAUCCAGGGUGAUAGUCACCUCUGCUACCGGUAGAUGGAAACUACUAGUUUCCUUAUGCCACCUCUCCGCAAAAGAAAGCAUAAGUCCCCGAUCACCAGUGUCCAUCGAACAUGCGAUCAAAUGACUUAAUCUUGUGGCAGUCACUAAGCCUUCAAUCUUAGGAGCAAGCCUGCCAAAUUUCUCUACCUUCUUUCCAUAGGAGGGCAACUUCAACUCAGGAUGUUCUUGAAAAUAAAAAUAUAAAUCAUUUGAACAAUAAUAAUAAAUACUUAUGAAAAUAUUAUUAAUUUUGAAAUAUAACUAUCUCUCCAUUCCAAAUUGUCACAACCACAUGAUGAACAUAGUCCAUCAAAACUGAUGUGUCAUGAGGCCCGCUUGGAAAAUCCUUGGCAUCACUAACUACAUCAUUAGUUGGUGCCUCUUAAGGUUGUUCAUGACCUCUUUAGAAACAUGAUCCACAUGUUCAACAUCCUCAACAACAUGUGCAGGAGCGGCUUUUCGUUGCCUAUGUGCAGAUGUUGUGGGCCUUCGCCGCUUGGGGCCUUCAUCGGCAUCACGACUUACUUUUCUACAUAAUGCUCUUCCGAUAACUCUACUUAAAGUCCAACCCAAACCUCUGAUUCUAACUAUAAUCUGCACAUUAAAAUAGCCAUAAAAAUUAAUGUCAUUCUUCAAAUAAUAUUUCACUUUCAUAAAUAUAUUUUCACCAAUUUAUUAUUUAUUUUUGAAAAAACUUUUAUAUAUUCUUAAAUCAAUAUACAUUUUUUAAAAACAAAUAUAUUUAUACACUAGACAUCAGUAAUUCUAGUAAACAUAAAUAUAUGAUAAAAAUGUUACAAAUAACUAUUUCAAAUUUCAAAUAUAAUUAAUUUGCAUAAACAAAUAAGAAAAAAAUUAAUUUAUUGAAUUAAAUAAUUAUUACAAAUCAAUUGAAAAUAAAAUUAUAAUUAAUUAAUUAAUUACAUUUUUAAAACAUACAACAAUACUUUUUUAUUAAAUAAAUUUUAAAACAACUAAAUAAUUUAAUUAUUAAUUAAUUAAUUAAUUAAAAUAGAGUAAAUUAAUAUAAAUUGUCAAUCCGUAUGACUUAUACAGAUCUCCUUCUACACCCAAGAAUGACAAUGGCAACGCAAAAUAAACCAGAACACAUGAGGAAAUACUUACCACAACAAAGGAGAAAUCGAGGACAAACCACGACUGAGUGACAAUCGACACCAAUGACUGCGAACGAUGGCAGCAACGGCGAAAGAAACACGAAAGCAACAAAAAUGGCAUAGCGGAGCUAUAUGGAAACACAGAGAAGAAGGACUGCACAAGAGAAGGGAAGAUUUUUUUAAAUUCAUGUGAAAGACAUUUUUGUCAUUUCAUAUUAAUUGCUGGGUGUACCAGCAAUUCUGCAAGGUGCCGAAAGUAACUCUCCUAACAACUAGAUCCGGUGUAGCCCAAUCACCCACCCUACCGUUGGGACAUGCAAGGUGCACCCAGCAAUUAGGUGAAUGGGCAAAAUUGCCCUUGCGUUAAAAAAAAUAAUUUCUUCUUCUGGAAGAACAAUUUGUGUUCUGACGGAAGAACCUUCUUCCGAAAAGCUUACGGAAAAAGGUUCUUCCGGUAAAAUAAAUUGUUCAUCCGGAAGAACCUUCUUCCGGAGAAGUUACCGGAAGAACUUCUUCCGAUAAUUUCUCCAAAAAAAGGUUCUUCUGGUAGAAUAAAUUGUUCUACUGAGAAAACCUUCUUCCUGAAGAAGGAAUUAUUUUUUUAACACAAGGACAAUUUUACCCAUUCACCUAAUUGCUGGGUGCAUCCAGCAAUGCACCAGCAAUGUUGCUGGUGCACCUAGCAUGUCCCCCUACCGUUGGAUGGUUUUUCGUAAAUCCACAACACCCUCGUGCCUCAUCUCGUAAAAUCCGCGUCACUAACGUGCCAAAACGACAACGCUCGUUCCCGCUCGCCAUCGUUUCAAAUUGCGAACGAAUUUGCAAAAGCACACACUGUAACCGAUCCAUUCCCACAUCACACAAAAUACAAAAACUACAACUAACAUAGAAGAAGAUGAAGAAGUGAUAUCACAAUCACAUUAUCAUGGAUUCCAUUUCUAACCUUCCGCUCCUAGAGAUCGCAGGCGAAGACGAUUCGUUGCUCUUCGAUGUUUCCGCAGCGUCCACCACCGAUGUUUUCUCUUGCUCCCCUCUCCUACCUCUCAGAUCUAAUCCUCCUCAACACGGUUAGGGUUUUUCUAUUUCGUUUUCUCUUUCUCUUUUUUUUUUUGAAUUUCUGGAUUAUUUAUCAUGUAUAAUUGUUGAUUUGAUACUGAUUUGAGUAAUGCGGCUGCAGAAGGAAGAGAAGGUGGUGGCGCUGUGGAUUCCGAAAAUCAAAGAAGUUCCUCGGUUAGUGACAGAGCGAACAAAGAGAACGCGGAUUGGAACACACUGCAGAAGCUUAGCUUGGAGCCUCAGCAAAUGAAGAGGAAGAAGAAAGGAGGCGGUUACAAUUUGCGUAAGAGCUUGGCAUGGAACCGAGCUUUCUUUACUGAAGAAGGCAUUCUCUUCUCUCCAUUGUCCAUUAAUUAACUGUGAAAGAUUGAUUAACACUAAUUGUUAUUAAUUAAUUAAUUGAUUGAUUCUAAACCCUACUUUUCAGGUGUUUUGAACCCGGCAGAGCUUUCUAUUAUUAGUGGCACUGCCACUCCUAAGGCAGGGUUGAAUUUGGAAGUAAUCCUUGAAGAAGAGUCCGUUGGCACUUCGAUAGAGUUGCAGGACAUUGAAGAAAAUUUGUUCAUGCAUUCAUCCGAUGCUGUUCCUGUUGAAGAUAGGAAGAUUGGCUUAUCUCCAAAGCCUGCUGCAUUAGCUAAAGCUUCUCCGGCCCCGGUUUCCAAAGUCUGUCUUUAAUUAUACUCUUUGCACAAAUAAUGAUAGUUUAUCGAAAUUGAACUCUUUCUGAUUUCUGUCACAUAUUACUUUUGGAUACUUGUUUGUUAGGCAAAGAGGAAAGUGCUUACUGUCAAUGACUCAGUUGGCAACAGAUCCAAACGCAAUGCUUGUCCUCCACGGGUGCCAGUAGCUUCAUCCUCAUAUCCUUCCCAUUGCUUGUUUAGGAUAGAUAUUAAGUGAAGUGUCUUACAUUGUGCCUGUGCUACUGGAUUAUGUUGUCUUGUGUUUCUUUAUCUGUUGAAUAGUGGAAGAGUUUACCUUAACCCCUUUGCAAACUAAAAAAAACUGACACAGUAAAAGCUCCAAGUAAAGAAUUGAAAGUGACUAGGAUACCUGGUCCGAAAUCAGAUGUUUCUGCAAGUGCAACAACUGCCAGGAGUGGAAUGUUGACCACAGGUUCCUUGAAGAGAAAUCAGAAUGCUCGUCCUGGUUUGUUCUGCAACUUGUGUUUGUUUCUUUUUUUUAUCCUUGGAAAGUUGUGCCUUGGUGACUUGUUGGUCAUGGGUUCGAAUCCGGAAACAGCCUCUUUGCAUAUGCAAGGGUAAGGCUGCGUACAAUAUCCCUCCCCCAUACCUUCGCAUAGCGAAGAGCCUCUGGGCAAUGGGGUAUGAAGUUUUUUUUUUACUUUGACAAGACUGAAUAGGAGAGAAUCAAGAGAUAUAAUUUCAAGUACCUUUUAUUGUACUCUUGCAUAAUACAAUGUAAAAAUGGAUCAUAUAACAAAUUUAAUUUUGAUUGAGGUUUGUAAUCUCAAUGAACUUCACAAAUACAGGUUUCUCUUGAGUAACCAAACAUCAACUUCUAACCUUAACAGGAGAUGAUUUUAUUGGUUAUAUUUUGUUAAUUUUGUUUCUCUUCUACAGCCACUAAUCUUCAGAAGCAUACUGGAGUAAAAGGCCCUUCCAAAAAUCCUAAAACUGUCCCAAGUAACCCAAAAGUUGGUCUGGCUGGUAAAUGUUCAGUUACUAGAACACUUACCCAGCAGGCUGGGAAACAUUUGGUAAGGAACUCAAGAGUCUGUAAUUUUUUAACAUUCAUCACUUGCUCCAUCCAGUUUUUAAUUCCUUUUAUUUAACUAUUAGGCAUAUGAUUCAUCUCUUGAAACUGCUUGACUGCACAGGAUAACUCAGUUUCAGAAACACAUCCACCAUCUAGAAUGCAUCAAUCAGGAACUGAAGCAAAUAAGGUGUCAGAAGCUUGUCUUUCACAAGGUGUUUCUGACAUCAGUGAGAAAAGGCAACAGACACAGCUUCAAACAACAAAAUUUUCAGGCCUACGGAUGCCAUCUCCCUCAUUGGGAUUCUUUUCUCUGGUAUGUUUGUUUUAGUUGGUCCAUAUUUCAUAUUUAGGUGCAUGUAUCAGUAAAAUAAUGCUCAUAUUCAUGCUUAUUACUGCUUUUUCAGGCAAAAACUUCCAGUUCACAUAGCCAAUUACAGAAAAGUUCUAAACCUUGCAAACCUGCUAGGAGUAACAUUCCUCAAUUACAGAAUUUAGAAACAAAUUCUGUUAAUGAGGCAAGACUACCGCAUGCACCUGGAAUAAGGUCUCAAAUUGUCAAAGGUGCAGCAAAGAAUUGCACUGAGGAAUUAACCCUUUUAGAUGUAAAGUCAGAAUCAAGGAUGCAAGUGGAUAAUAAGCAGAUGGCUGGUGUAGAGGUGGAACAUAAUUCUAUGGGUUCUGAAAAAAUAAGCAAGCAAGAAAAGGUUGAAAACAAUCUUGAACAUGUCAACAUAAAACCUAAGGAACAAGGAGAACUACAUAGAAGUGAGAAUGCCUCUAGCAUGGAGAAUGUGAUAUUCCCUAGACAUGAAAAGAAGCUUCUUUCAGUGAGUCAAACUCAAGAGCAGUCAGAGAAAGAGGCUGGUCACCCUGACGUUUUGUCAAACAAGUAUCAAUCUGUGUUUCAGGAACCACAGUCUAUGGACCAUCAUGGCAUGCUGAGAAAUUCCAUAAUGACAGGUAGUAUUUCAAAUACUGUGCAUAAUGCCAUGGGACAAGAUGAAGAUGAACAAAUCAAACUGUUCGCUUGUGAUGUUCUUACUUCCAAUGAAAGUUUGGUGCUACAGGCAAAGCAUGGUACUUCUUUUAAGGGUAGUAGACUCUCUGAAGAGUUCAAGGAAUACAAUAGUGUUAAGACUGCAUUUUUAAAUUCUAGUCUUGUUGAUUUGAGUGAAACUGUUUUGGGAGGAUCUAUACAAGAAAUCCCCUUUAAGAAUACUGAACAGGUAAAUGGUGAUGCUGCUGAUUUUGUUACAAGUGGAGGAGAUGCACAAGUGCAUUUAUUGAAUGCGAAUCUCUCAGUUGAUUGCAAUGAAAGCACUGAAAGUAAUUUAGAGGCAGUUAAUCAGCAGCUACAAGGGGAACAACUCAAGACUACAAGUGCUGGUAUUGUAGGAGAAAUUAGUUCAUCAAAAGAAGACGAAUCUCAUGUAAAUAGUUGUCAACUAGUCCAUAUGACAACCUUAUCUUCCAAGGGUUCUCCUCAGAAGUCUAUACCAGAAAUCAAUGGUCCGGCUGAAACUGAACCAAAAAUAGCUGAAAUUGAAGACUGCCAGUUUCCAGUAGAUGAUCAAUCAGGUUUCAUUCAGACAAGACCAGAGUUGGAAGGAUGUGAGAAGGUUAUUGACUCAAAGGCAAUGCAUGAUAGUUCUCAAGCAUUUGAAUUGGAUAGUUUAAGUGAAGAUUGUGUGGCUCUUUCUGCACCUGCUUGCAACACUGUGGUAAGCAAUGUUUCUUGGGAAAGCAGACCUUUUCAAGAGAAUAAUGUAGAGAUUCUCCAUUUUACAUCCCAACUAUGUCCAGUGGUAAAAGUUGAUUUUGAUCCGAGUAAAAAUGAAAUGUCAACCAAUAGCUGCCGUAUGAUUUCUGAGUUGCAGCUUGGAGAUGAGGAUUCUUCUAGGGAUGUUUCAAUGCACUAUGAUGUUCCGAUUGAUGUCCCUGGAAACUUUGAGCAACAAAUUAAUAAGAAUAUAUAUUCUAAAGCAAGCGAAAUGCUUUGUGAAGGUGAGAGUUUAGUACUAAAUCAUGGUCACUUGCUUGAUCAAAGUGAAUUUUCUGAAGAAUUAUCUGCAGAUUUCAUUUCAAACACCAAAGAUUCUAUAAGUACUGUUGCUGGAAAAUCCUCUGGCUGUUUACAACAUACACUACCAGCUCAGUUAUCAGUACUGUUGGAUGGUGACUGGCUGCCCACAAAUACUGCUUCUUCUGAAGAAAUCAAGAAAACAAAUUUAUCUGAGAGUGCAUUAGAAGGAUGUGAUAUCCAUACAAGUGAGCGCAAUGCUUCUAAUUAUCAUAUUCAGGCUAUGCCUGAAAUUAAAGAUGGAAAUAUUGAUGUGGAUGAAAGGGAAGAGCUUUUACGAAUUGAUGAUUCAAAAGAAGGUUCUUCUGACAUAUUGCCAUUAGUUGAAGCUCAACUCAAUGACAACGUGAUAUCUUCUGAAUGCAAUUCUUCUAUAGAAGUGAGCAAAGAUUCUUUUACAGACAUAGUUGCUUGGAAAUCUGAGGAGGAUUGUUCUUUGAGUCAAAGUUCAAACUUCCCGGCUUCAGAUAAUUUAACCUUCAACACAGGAAUCCCACAGGUCUGUUAAGUUAGUCCAUUGAAAACUAAAAAAAAUUCAGAUGAAGCUGAAAAUUGAAUUUAAAAUUUUAAUAAUUAAUUUUUUGGUAUAUUUUUGUUGAAUGUUAGUCAAAUUGUUUCUGUUGCAUGUAGAAGUUGAAUCAAAAUUCCCCCCAUGGAGAUUGGCCGGAUACUGUUUCUGCAACUGCUUGUGACACAAAGGUAAACAAUGUUUCUCAAGAAAGCCAACCUUGUCAUGAGAAUGAUGUAGGAGAUCUCCAGUUUACAGCCCAACUAUCUCCAAUGGUGAAAGCAGAUUUUGAUUCCACAGAAAAUGAUAUAUCAACUAAUAACUGCUGUACCAUUUCUGAGUUGGAGCUUAGAGAUGAUGGUUCUUCUAGGGAUGCUUCAAUGCACUAUGAUGGUCAAUGUGGUGUCACUGGAAACUUUGAGCAACAAACUAGCAUGAUUACAUAUUCUGUAGCUAAUGAAAUGCUUUGUGAAGAUGAGAGUUUAGUGCUAAGUCAUGAUCACUUGGUUGAUCAGAGUGAUUUUUCUGAAGUAUCUGCAGAUUUCGUUUCAAACGCCAAAGGUUCUAUUGGUAGUGGAGCUGAAAAUCCCUCUGGCCAUUUACAACAUACAAUAUUGACUCCAUUAGUACAAGAAUUUGAUCACACCAACAGAGAGACUGAGGAAUCACAUCUGGAAAAUGCACAAGUGCAGUCAUUUACUGAAAAUCCAGUGGCAUACCACUGCAGCAGUAAACACAGUCUUGUUACUGAUGAUAAAUUUCCAUUGGCUGAUAACAAUGAUAUAAAUGAAGAUUCUCAUCUUUCUGAUUUUCAAAGGCUUGGUGCUGUUGUUGGUGUAGAUUCCCAGAAUGCUGAUAACAUACUUAUUGCUUCUUCUCAAGAAAUCAAGAAAACAAGUUUAUCUGAGGGUGCAUUAGAAGGAUGUGAUACCCAUACAAGUGAGCACAAUGCUUCCAAUCAUCAUAUUCAAGCUAUGCCUAAAAACAAAGAAGGAAAUCUUGAUGUGGAUGAAACAGCAGAGCUUUUGCAAAUUUAUGAUGCAAAAAAAGGUUCUUCAGACAUAUUGCCAAUAGUUGAAGUUCAACUCAAAGAUUCCCAGAAUGUUGAUGACUUACUGCACUUAGAUGGUGAUUGGCCUCCCACAAAUUUUGUCUCUUCUGAAGAAUUCAAGAAAACAAAUUUAUCUGAGGGUGCAUUAGAAGGAUCUGAUAUCCAUUCAAGUGAGCACAAUGCUUCCAAUCAUCAUAUUCAGGCUAUGCCUGAAAACAAAGAUGGAAAUCUUGACGUGGAUGAAAGAGAAGAGUUUUUGCAAAUGGAUGACGUGAAAAAAGGUUCUUCAGACAUAUUGCCAUUAGUUGAAGUUCAACUCAUUGACAACGUUGUAUCUUCUAAAUGCAAUUCUUCUAUAGAAGUGAACAAAGACUCUGUUACGGACGUAGUAACUUGGAAAUCAGAGGAGCAUUGUUCUUUGAGUGAAAGUUCAAACUUACCAGCUUUAGAUGAUCUAACAACCUUCAACACAAGAACCCCACAGGUCUGUGAAGUUAGUUCAUUGAACAGUACAAUUUUUUUAGAUGAAGCUGAAACUGAUAUCUUUGAGAAAGAUGAGUUUCCACAUACCGACAUGCAGCACCAGUCAAAUGGCAAUAUUAAUUCUGCAGAAGACAGCAGCAAAAUAAUUCGUUUGUGAGUAUCUUAGUUCUUGAUGAUAUUUGAUCAAUUACGCCUUGGAAUCCUUCCACUUGACAAAUUGAGUGAUAUUUUAUUAAUUUUUUGAAUGGCAGGGAGGAUUCUGUAACUAAAUGCAAGCAAGAAGUUCCUACAGUGAAGCCUCCACCAAAUGCUGCUCCGUUUUCGGAUGAAUGGUUAGCUGCAAUUGAAGCUGCGGGAGAGGUGACUAAGAUUUCUUGACUGCACCUGCAUAUUUUAUGACUGAUUAAUAAGUUUUUGCAUGGCGUGGUGUUUCAUGCCACUUAAGUGUUGUUUUCCUAUUUUUAAUUCUUACGUUGCUUUUUUUUGGGCUUUAAACAUUAAUCCUUUUUUUUCAAUAUUACCUUUUUAGUAUCUUUUGUUUAAUGUUAACUUAGUCAAAUUUACAUUAAAAAAUAAAAACUUAGUCAAAUUGUUUGUAUUGCAUAUGGAAGUUGAAUCAAAUUUUUUUGUUAGAUUUAGCUGCACAAUAUCAUAUAUAGACCAUUAGUUCUUUGACAUGUGGUAGAUUAUUUUUCGAUGUUUAGAUUCAUCUUACACCUCGUGUUUACAGGAGAUUUUAACGAUGAAAAGCGGUGCUGUACAAAAUUCUCCUCCUGACAAGCCUCAGCAAGAACCAGGUCCUUGGUCCCCGGUAGGUUCAUUCUUCAGUAUCUAAUUCUGAUUCAAAUUAUAAGCACAAAGCUCUAGCGUGAACAGUUGACUUUUUUUUCUUCCUUAAAUUGGAUACUGAAGUAUAAGAUUUUUUAUUAUUAUUUUAUCAGCAAAUGUUAGAUGUUAAUAAUUUGGUAGUUUUUGUUAGCGAAAAGACUCGAAGUCAACCUAUUUUUUCUUCCCUUCAUCCUUUAUCACCAGGUCAACUUUGUAUCUCCACUAAAGUAUAAGAUGACACCAUGCCUAGGGAUUCUCUCAUCUGAAUUGUGUUUAGAUCAGUAUCUCUCUUUUCACGGUUUAAAUAUUGAAAACCCCGUCAAUAUUUGUAAACAUUCAUGGAAAGAUGCGACGCAGAAGUUUUGACCUAACGAGGUCACACGAAAAAUCUAACGUGAGCUUUAUUUUCUACAAACAGCACAACCUAAAAGAACUUAUAAAAAAAAAAACCAAGCAUAAAGCAAGCCAUCCACUUCCACUGCUACAGUGCCUGUGAUUCUAAAUGGUGCAUCAUGUCUUUUGUUGUUUCAGAAAAUAUGAAAAAUAAACAGAGGGGACAAACAUCGUUUAUUGUAGAUGUUCCCUGGACCAGAAUGGGAAUAUUCUCUAUACUGAUUUUAUCCUCUUCAAUGGUGGCAGGGGACAGCCUCUGCCUGCUCUAUUAAAAUGGGAUAUUUUGCAAUCUCUUUUUUCCCGUAAUCAUCUCUACAGAACUCAAUGCUUCUUAACUUCAAAAGAUGUAAUUUGCAUGAGAACAGCAUUUGAUAUUGGUAUUCCUGUGAUCAUUUAACCCAUUAGAAUUAGGAUGACAAGAAAGUUCGUGGAGUUGUUCGCAUCCUUAUUCCUUUAUAAUGCCUUUUCCUUAGCUUUACACCAAUGUAACAUCAAAAUCACCCCAAUUUCUUGGUUGGCUUUAAUGUCAUGAUAAUCAACUCAGAUUCGCUUCAUUCUUUAUUGCUAACUAUAAUCUUUUCUAGUUGAACAUCUUAAGAAGUUGCAUUGUUACUGUUACUUCCCCUAUUUCGUUUGUUGUCUCUUUAUCUCUAUGCUUUGUAUUUUGAUGGUAUAUUAUUGUGAUUUGCGAGUAUUUAAUUUAUAUGUUUCAUUUUGGUUUGCAGGUGAGACGUAAGAAUCAAUCGAUUGGACCCUUUGAUUGUACCAAACACAAUAUCCAGCAUUCCAGUCCAUAAUGAUAUAAAACUGGGAUUUAAUCUUUAUUAAUCACUAACCAUUUUUUCUUUGCUUGAAACAACCCUUCAGCUUCAGAAGUUUGAAGACGUUGUACGGAGCAAAGUGCUACGCAUGUAGAAUUGCCCAUUGCCACAUUUAUGUCUUACUCUGAAGAUACUUAAUAAAUAAAUAAAUCAUAAACUGAUUGUUGUCAAAUUGUAAAUUAUAUUUUUGUACUAGUUUUUACUUUAUAGAACUCUAGUUUUUGAAGUUUCCCACUAGGUAUAAGAUGAGACUAAUAUACUUUGUUGCCCCCAUAAAACUCUAGUUCUUUCAUCACACUUUCCUUUCUCUAUGUUUUUUUUCUUUGUCUUUUUAAUGAAUUUUUUUGGAAAAAGAUUUAGAUAUCUUGUCCAUUUUUACAAAAAAGAAAAAGAAAAAGAAUUUUCACAUGUUAAAGAAUUUAGUUUCUACAGGCUCGUAAAACUCAUUAUUAUUUAAUGAUAUGUUACUACAAUAUUUAAUAAACUUAAACAUAUUUUUAUGUACUGUUAAACUUAUUAAAUAAUGUAACGACAUAUUAUUACAUAAUAAUAACGCAAAAUUCUUUUAUAUUGACAUGCGUUUAAGUUAAACUAUUGUGCUUCCUAAAAACUUCACCCUUUCAAACAACCCGAGAUUGAGAAUUAUAAAAAGCUUUCAUCCUGACCAUGAGAGAUAAAAGAAGAAUUCUGAAAAGAUAUCAAGUAAUGCAUUCCCUCAAGCGUUAAGCCUUUCUGUUUGCACAUCUCGUGUAGCCAUUCCAAGUAGCAUUUUUUUUGUUGACUUAAACUCUCUUCUAGACCCCUCUGGAAAACCAUAAUUGACCUCAUUUCUUCACUAACCAGGUGUGAGAGUAAGUAAUAAUUUGGAAAAGGAGAAAGGAACACGGAUAUCUCUUCUAUUUCUUCCCAACAAGAAAUGGGUGCUUUUCUAAAAAGCUGACUUAUCUGACUCGUAUUAUUACAGAAACAUCGCAAUAUAAAAUCCAUAAAUCACGCAUUAAACUAUGAAAAGUCAUCAUGCAUUCAAUUUUCUAACCAUAAAGGAAGUACUUUUCUAAAAAAAAAAGGCUCACUGAAUUUAAAUCCACUAUACAGAUAAUAUAGCAGAAAAUAGCUAAAAUCAAGGUAGCAAUAAGUUACGAUGCAAAUAACUUAAGUAAAAUACAUGAUGAACCCGAGAAAACAGUCACAAAAGAAAAUAAAAAUAAUAAUAACCCGUCAGGGUUAAAAAAAAUUGGAGAUUAAUAUCGUUACUUGGCACUUUACAGCAGAAGGACACUCAUCAAGCCGUAAUUGCACCUACCUAGUCACACAGAUUGAAUAAAUUACCUAGGGAGUUUGAUCGGCAACAAGGUUGAAUUUUCAUUCAACUUGAUCCUUUCGUGAUUGUAAGAACUGAACUUAAAGUGAUUAAAAAAAUUGAAAACGAAUUAUUAUUUUUCCUUCUAAGCCUGCUUCAAGUCCUUGAGUUUUUCUGCUUUAAGCAUACUCAGGAUUGAGUGCUAAUGCUUCCCUGUAGAUCAUCUCUUUUAUUUGCUCUUCAUCCAAUUGUUGUUGCUCAAAAUCAAAUGAAAAUGGCUCCAUGCAGAUUGGUUCAUCAGCUACAUCAUGCAGUUUUUCAAGGUAUGGAUGGGCUAGUGCUUCUUCAACUGCCAAUAUUUAAACAAAAUAGAAAUGAAAAUUUGCCAAAAUUUAUUCCAUAUGUAAGCUUCAGAUAUCAUCACUGUUCAAAAUGAAACUGCAUGUUGCUUCAUCAAGCUGCAGAAACAUAAAAGAAUGGGAAAAGUACCUGUAAUUCUUUUGGUGGGAUCAACUGUCAACAUUUUAUCAACAAGAUCAAUGGCUGCCGGAUGAACAUGGGGGAAGACUUGAGCUAAAGGUUGGCGAGGAUAUUGAGGAAGUUGUCUGAUAUAUCUUCUUGCAUCUUCAUUUUUCACUAACCCAAGGUCAGCCUCAGUUGGGGUGCCAAGAAGCUGUGGAUAAGAAAAGAAGACUAAGCAUUGAACCAGAAUUACCUUCUAUAAUUAAAUUAUUGAUUAUAUUCAUGGUAUUAAUUAACUUGAACUAUAUGAUCAUCAAGCAUUUAAUGCAAUUUUUUACAUCAAUGUUUAAUUUUAUAUUUUCAAUCUCACCUCUGUCAAUAAGCGCAUCUGAUGCACAUGGUCUUUGCCCGGAAACAGAGGCUUUUUAUUCAUAAGCUCCAUAAAGAUGCAACCAACAGACCACACAUCUAUAGCAGAGGUGUAAUCAGAGGAAUUCAACAACAAUUCGGGAGCUCUGUACCAUCUUGUGACUACAUAUUCUGUCAUGAAGUCACUUUCCAAAGUUGGUCUCGCAAGACCAAAAUCAAUAAUCUUCAAGUCACAAUUUGAGUUUAGCAGCAGGUUGCUUGGUUUUAAAUCUCUAUGGAUUACGUUUGCAGAAUGUAUAUACUUAAGCCCACGAAGAAUCUGGUACAAGAAGUACUGCAAGUAAAAGAGCAUACAAUCAUCAGCAAAACAAAAAAAAUCCAAAAUGUAAACAUAAUAAUUAUGAUAUAUUUAAAAAAAAAAUUGAAAGCACUCACUUGAGAGUGCUCCUCUGACAGAUUUUGAUUGGAGCGAAUGAUAUGGUGAAGAUCAGUAUCCAUGAGUUCAGUGGCUAUGUAGACAUCAUUAAACUCUCUACGCAAGGGUGGAGGAAUUACAUCUCUCAAACCAAUUACCUGUUAUAAAAACACACAUUUUAAUCACAAUGAAAUAGACAACAGUGUGAACUCUUUUAUUAAUGUGGACUUGGCUAACUUUUAACUACAGUUUAAAUUAAAUUCAAUGUUUGAAUAGAAAAAGUUUAUAACUAAAUCCCAGUAUCAUGUCAUCAUGUGUUCCACAAAUUAGGAAGUCAUGGUCAAUUGGGAGAUGUGACUUGAGUCUAUUAAAUCCCUACAAACGUAUCACCACUCACCACAUGUAUUUUACUGCCAUAGUGGCAUUUUAUGUAGCUACAACCUUUUCUAAAAAGUUGAACGAUUCACAACAAUUUUGGUUUUAAUUUUAGAGAGCACUGAAAUUGUUAAAAAAAUUUACAUUAUAAUUCAAUCAUAAAUCAUAAAAUGUCUGGAAAGUUAUGUUUGCUGAUUUUUAUAAAAAAUUAUUUUAACAAUCAUAUAAAAAAAAUAUUAGACUCUUAAUUUUAAUUGACUAAUUCAUGAAAAAGUAUGUUACACUACGUGGCAUAAUCAAAACAGUGUAAUGAAAGAAAUUUCCACCAACCAAAACAAAGCACGAAUUGAUCAUUGGUACCAUAUGAUACGAUAAUAUCUUUAAGUCAAACUUAGCUAAAGGAGAGCACUCACAUUUUCAUGAUCCAAAUGCCUAAGAAGCUUAAUCUCACGAAGCGUACGCUUAGCGUCCAUGUGAUUGUCGAAAGCGUUCGCUAUCUUCUUAACCGCCACCAGCUCAUUCGUCUCGGUAUUCAACAGCGAGCUUCAAAAAUUACAUCAACAUAUUCAGAUUUCUCAAUUUUACAAAUAAAAAAAAAAGUCAACGCUAAACAAUAAACACUCAGCACUAGCUAACAGAUUAACAGUUCACUCAAAAUCAAAUCCGAUUCAUCGAGAACGAAAAUCGAGAAUCAGAGAAACGCACAAUUUCUUAAUUAUAUCAAUCACGUCUUCGAAAAUCACAUGGACGCUAAGCAUACAGCUCCCAGCUCCGUGAGAUUGUGGACAACUAACUAACAACUAACAUUUCUCAAUAAAAUAAAUAAACCGCGUUUUCAAAAAACAAAAUAAAUCGAAGAAAACGAACGAGCAGUACCAAACGAUUCCAUACGCGCCGCGUCCGACAGGCAUGAUCGGAGGACGGUACUUCGCCGUAACCUCGAAGAGGUUUCCGAAUAUGUUGUACUGAAUGAACUGUCCGCCGUGCGUUGGAGUCGCCGGAAAAUCGGCGACGCCGUUCGGAUUAACUCCGGCCAUCAGUUUCUCUCUCUAGAAACGGUACGGAGAAGAGCGCUUCUCUCUCUCUUCUCACUGUCGAAGCAGCAGCAGAAGAAGCAGCAGCGCGCUUUCUCUCUCUAUAACAAACUUUCUCUCUCUAGAAACCGUCAAAGUAAAAACGAGAAGAAGAAAGAUGAAGAGGAUGGAGAGAGUGAAAGGAAGAGGUUUUUAAUUUAAAUAGUGUCCACGAGGAGCGAGCGAGUCAGUCACCGAGUCAGUGCGUGUGUACGUUCGUACGUGUGAGUGAUUUUUAUUUUGCUCGGUCAACUCGGCCGGGUAAGCACUAACACGUUGAUGAGUCUUCACACUUUCGGAGCAGGUGCCACGAAGAAGGUGCGAAAACGCGCCAGGGGAAGAAAAAUUAACGAAACGAACCACACGCUCACACGUGUGACGCGUUCCGAACUUAAUCCAACGGCUCAGAUCGUAGCCGCCUCUGAUCUACGGACCUCGUUUGUUCAAUUAUUUCAACAGCCAUCAACCUUUUCUUUCCUCUAUUAUUACGUAAUUUGUAUGCUCGUCAAAGCCACCUCGUGUAUUUUUUAAACUAACGUGAGAUAUAAUAAUAAAUAUCAUAAUAGAAUGAUGUUAUUGUCCUCAGCUAGCCAGAAGAAAACAGAAUAAUUGAGUCAGAAGCGUGUUAGCAUAUGUGCAAAUUUUGACUCAUGCCCAUGUCUAUGUAUAAUAUAAGGCUAUAAGACCCUUUCAGUCACCCAAAAUAAUAAUUUUGCUAAAAUUAUUGUUUUCUUGAGGAUAAUAAUUUCUGCAAAUAAUUAAUUGAUUAGGUUAAUAAAGAAUUUUAUUUGUUAAUCUCUAACUGACUACUACUUUUUUUAUAUAACUAACAACUACUUGUAAUAAUAUCUCCGCUAAGAAUUUUUUUAAGCAAAUUACACUGAUGCCUUUGAGAUUUUUUCAAAUUACACGUAAAAACACUUUUUUUAUCCCUUUAUACACUAAUCUACUGUAUGUUUAAAAAUAUUAUAUUGAUACUCUUCCAGUAUGUUACCUUAAUAUCUACUUAAUGUUUAAAAAUAUUGUAUUGACAUUCUCUUAUAUAUUAUACCAACAACCUUUACAAAAAUAAGUUACUGUAAUGAUUACAAAAGUUUAGAGGUAUUUGUGAAAUUUAAUGAAACUUUAGAAGUGAAUAAUGUAAUUUGCUAUUUUUUUAUGAAAUUGCCAUAAAAUAUGAUUAUGUAAAACUUAAUCACUACAAGAAAAAAAUGUUAUUAUCGACGAAAUAUUUCUCACUAAAAAUAAUCCAUCAAAAAUAUUAAAACUCCCGACAAACUAUAUUUUAUCUAAAAAUAUUAAAUUUCCAACGGAUAUAUAUUUUGUCAGAAAUAUCCUUUGAAAAGUUGAAAUUAUCUUUUCUGUGGUUUUCCUGCUUCCAUUUUUCAACUCUGGGUAGGUACUGAUUCAUGUCUUCUUUCUUGUGCUUACGUAUGCCGUAUCCAUGUUAAGUUGCCCACCACAUUGAAACUCAAAUUCAGUCCAACACUAAAGGACUCUAAGCAAUCUGAGAUUGGUUCCAAUCUAGUUCUGCUUGGUUGUUGCAGAAGAGAAGUGAGAUUGCGUUUCACAGCUUAUUUAACUUUGAUUGUGUUAUGCCAAUUGUUGAGUAUCUAACCUUUGAAUUUUUGUAUAAAGGAAAGCAAGUGCACGAGUCCCAUAGCUAUACUCCAGCUACCUAAGGGUCAAGUGAGUUUUAUAUUCCUAUUUUCUGUUAUGUGUUUUUGUUGGCUGAUCACUUUCAGUGCUUGAAUGACUGAAUGAGCAUGCCAUGCCUGAAGUAAUUGAUUAUGUGGCUGAUGUUUGUUUGGUAAAGAAUUGUUUCUAGCAUCCCUUCGUCUACAUUAGUACUUCUUUUGUCAUUCUAUGUAUGUUGUGUAUGAUAUCAUUCUUAUUUCUUAUCAUAGACAUUGGCAAAUGGCAAUUUUAGUUUGUUGGACAAUUUUGUAAUUAUUAUUAUUAUUUUUCUAAUUUUUGGUUUCUCGGAUAUUAUUGGCUGGAACAACCUUUGUGGAACUAGUAGGUCCAAUCCAAGAUAAAUAUCUAUUUAUCUCCUUCUUUUUUUAAUUUGAAGAAGCAUAUUAGUGUCUGUGUGUGUUUCAGUUAGGGUAUUUUUUUUUUUGUCAUAUAAAAUAGUACUAACGUGUAUGUUGAAGAAUAACAUAUAAUGUCUUAAGAUUGAAUCAAGAAAUAGCCUAGUAAUAAUUUUGAUUAAACACUUUGAAAAUGUUAGCUCUUUUGGUCCUCUGUUCCAGUUUGAUAUUUUUGUUAUUAUUUUUCAAAUUACAUUCCACUUACUUUAUACAUGAUCGGAGACUUUGAAAGGCUUAUUUGUCACCCGUAAUUGAAGUUUGCUACACGGACAAUAGUGUACCAAGUAUCAACACUUACCUCGUUCUUCUGUGCCCAUUAAAUUUGUAUGUGUAUGCGGUUGAGUUCCUAGUUUGUUUAAUUUCUUUAUUAGUUUAAUUAUUAUUUUGAUCGUGAUUAUAGUGUAAACUUUAUUGGUUUUACUCUAUACAUAAAGGUUAUAUUUAACAAACAAGUCAUUUUUACUAUUUUAAUCGAGUCUGCCAGAUUUUUAAACUGCUAGUAUAAAUUAUCAUUUUAGUGGUUUCAAGUUAUCAUAAACUAAUCUUAAGGACAUGUUUUUCUAGUUUAGGAAUUAAAUUAAAAAAUAUUAGUUUAACGAGAUGCUUAAAUUUUUUUAAUAUAAUUUUAGGAUGAACUAAGUAAUUUAACUUAUAAUUAUACAUAAUAAAAUGAAAAUUGUUUAUCGUGGGCCGUAACCCUAACAUACAAAUUGCCUAGUUUGGUUGAUUGCAAUGAUUUGAUACAAACCAAGCCCGAAUUAUAAAGGACAUGUCAGGAUAGCAAAUUCGUCGUAUUAAUUGUUUAAACAUAGCCAUAGACUAUAAACAUAUUUAGUUCAGUUAAUUAUCUUAUAAGUUUUACAUGCAGUUUAAGUUUCAAGAUAUGCUGUAGAAAUUUUUACUUUUCUAGUAUUUUGUUUCAACUGGCGUGGAAAGACUGUUUUUUUCAUUAAAUAUUAUUGUUUAAUAAAUAUAUUUAAUGAAUAAUUAACUAAGCAGAUUAUAUGUUUAUUAUGCAAUUUUGAUAAAAAAAAAAAAAAAAUUAGUAGACAUAAGUUGAAUCAUUGUCUUAAUCAUUUUCUUUUUCCUUUUUUUUAUUAAUAAAUAUAUGUUACAAAUUUCAUCACUUGGUAAAGGAAUGAAAGUUAACGAUCAAUCUCUAAAUACGAUUUGAGAUAUCAAUAUUAAUAUAUGUCAUCUUCAAGAUAUCAAUAGUAACGUAUGCCAUCUCAAUCUUCUUUUGACUUUUUUUUUUUACUUUUGAUUUUCAAUUCAUUUACCACUUAAUGUUUAUUUUAUAAUGUUUGUUAAUAGUCAGAAGAGUUUGGUCGAUGUGCAUGCAAAUUCAUUUACAAAAAGAUACUGGUCAAUUUAUCGAUGAUAGAUCUAUGCAGAUACAUGUGAAACUUAAUCACUACAAGAAAAAAUGUUAUUAUCGACGAAAUAUUUCUCACUAAAAAAUAAUCCAUCAAAAAUAUUAAAACUCCCGACAGACUAUAUUUUAUCAAAAAAUAUUAAAUUUCCAACGAAUAUAUAUUUUGUCAAAAAUAUCCUUUGAUAACCAUUACUCCCAUCAAAUAGCAGUCAACCCUAGAAACUUCUCCUAUUAAGUCCAAUUACAAUUUAGUCCUUAAUCGUUAAUUAUUUACUUAUUAGUCCCUACAUAAGUCACAUGCCUCUCACAUGAGACAUAAAUUCUAACAUUCUCCCACUUGGCUCAUGUGACAUUAAUAAAAAUUAUGGACUAAAUAAAUAAAUAGAUUAACUAACAUAAUGCGCAUUAAAAUUGACUAAAUUGUUCUAUACAUUGGGUACAUCAUAAUUUCAUGAUUAAGAAUAGGAACCAAUUUGAGUCAUGGCGGUUGUACAUCAUCUAAUCGACAUAGUCCCUUCCAUGUACUACAAAUUAGUCUUCUCCUUAAUGUGACCAUUAGUUAGGAGUACAUAAUUGGUCCAACAUAAUGUCUUCAUUCAAGACAAAACCUGUUAACAUUACUCUAACACAAACAUGCAUGCAAACAUAAAGAACAGGUAAUCAGAAACAUAUCAUAAUUGAGCUCAGAGUGUCAGCAAAAUUACAUAAGGUAAAUUACACUUAAUGAUCAUCAAUAACAAUAAUGUCCAUACUUUCAACAUGUUCUAUAAUGUCUUGGGAAAUAAUCUCUUAUUCAAAGGGUCAACUAUCAUAAGGUUUGUGCUAAUAUGUUCUAUUGACACUCUUUGUUUCUGAACUCCUUCCUUCACGACAAAGUACCUCAAUUUUAUAUGCUUAGCACCCUUAGAGUACUUGUCGUUCUUACAAAAAAAUAUUGUUGCGGAGUUAUCACAAUACAUUUUCAGCGGCCUAGCAAUACUGUCGACAAUUCCAAGCCCUGAAAUAAAGUUUCGCGACCAAUUAAUCUGAACUGUAGCCUCAAAAUAUACUACAAAUUCAGCUUUCAGAUGCAACAACAACUGAUGCAUACAAAAUAGCUUUCAUUUAUUUUCGUUCCAUAUCAUUUCUAGGACAUUCUGCGAGACUAAAUUAGUCUCCCUUCUAAAUUAGAAUAGGUGAUGUUAAAUACCUUUCCAUCUUGAAUCUCUCUAGUACUUUAUCGAUAUAUAUACUUUCUGAGAUAAGUCUGACAAUCCUUGUGAUCUAUUAUGGAAUAUUUCUAUCCCAAUCACAUAGCUUACCUCACCCAUAUCUUUCACUUCAAAGUUUCUAGAGAGAAAUUUCUUAGUCUUAUGAAGAAGACCAAGAUCGUUAGUUGCAAGCAAGAUAUCACCAAUAUACAGAAUUAGAAAAAUAACCUUACUCCCACUGACCUUCAGAUACAUACACUGAUAGACAGUAUUUGCCUUAAAUUUAAAGGAAACAAUGACAUCAUUAAACCUCAAAUACCAUUGGUGGGAAGGUUACUUUAAGACUGUAUAUUGAUUUCUUUAGUUUGCACACUAUGUGUUCCUUUCCUUCAACUGAGAACCCCAUUGGUUGGUCCAUACAAACAUUCUCCUCUAAAUCUCCAUUAAGAAAGGCAGUUUUCACAUCCAUCUGAUGUAGCUCCAAGUCAUAAUGGGCUACUAAUGCCAUAAUAAUCCUGAAAGAAUCAUUUUGUGAGACCGGUAAAAUGUCUCUUUAUAAUCAAUGUCAUCUUUCUGAGUAAAUUCCUUAGCAACAAGUCUAGCCUUGUAACGUUCAAGGUUGCCAUGAGAGUCACGUUUAGUCUUGAAGACCCACUUACAACCAACUCUCUUACAACCCUUUGGUAAUCCUACAAGGUCCCAAACUCUAUUAUGUUCCAUGGAAUUUAUCUCUUCUUUCAUGACAUUUAACCACUUCUCAGAAUUAUCACAACUUAUAGCUUGUGAAAACAAAACUGGAUCAUUAUCAUUAAUGCUUAAGUUUGUUUUUGUUUCAUGUAGGAAUACCACAUAAUCAUUCGAAAUAGCUGGUCUCCUUUCUCUUUGAGACCUCUUUAAUGUUACUUCUUGUGGUUCUUCCAUAAUAGGUUCAUUAUGCAUCAUGGGUUCAUUAUUGUGUUGCUCCUCUUCAUUAAUUUUGUAGCAAUAACUGAAGGAGCAAUCACCUUACUGUUAGAGGCAUAUGCUAAAAGGACUUACACUCUAACUUCUUUAAUUUCCAUUUCUCGUGGAACUGUACUCCCACUGAUUUCAUCAUUUCCAAUGAACCUUGCAUUUCCAGUUUUGACAAUUCUCAUACUAUGAUUAGAACAAUAAAACAUAUAUCCUUUUAACUUUUCUGGAUAACCAAUUAAAUAUCCACUGAUUGUUCUUGCAUCCAAUUUUCUUUCUUGCGGAUUAUAAAUCCUUAUUUUUGCCUGGCAACCCCAAACAUGCAGGUGCCUUAUACUAGGUAUCCUAUUUGUCUACAGCUCAAAAGGUGUCUUUGGAACUACCUUACUAGGAACCCUGUUCAACAACUACAUGGCAGUUUUCAAGGUAUACAUCCACAAGGAUAUGGAUAAAGUCUAAUUGAUUAACAUACUCCUAACCAUAUCCAUUAAAGUUCUAUUCCGUUUUUCUGAUACACCAUUUUGUUGUGGUGUACCGAGAAUUGUGUAUUGCACACAAAUGCACGUUUCUGAACAAGCUUAGCAAAUGGACCUGGGUGUUGCCCAGUUUCAUCAUAUCUUCCGUAAUACUCAUCACCUCUAUCAUAUCUAAUAAUUUUCACAUUUCUGUCUAAUUGCCUUUUUACUUCAUUCUAGUAAAUUUCUAUGGCAUUCAUUGCCUGAGAAAUCUCAGGCAGUAAGUAGACAUAACCAUAAUGUGAAUAAUUAUCAAUAAUGGUGAUAAAGUAUCUUUUCUUUCCGAAAGAACUAAUAUCAAAAGGUUCACAAAUAUCAGUAUGCACAAUUUCAAGAAGCUGAGUGCUUCUUGUAGCUCUUUUCUUUGUAUGUUUUGCUUGUUUUCCCUUAAUACAACCCACACAAAUAUUUAGAUCCGUAAAAUCUAGAUAAGGAAGAAUUUCAUUCUUUAUUAAUCUUUCCAUCCUUUCUCUAGAAAUGUGACCUAAACGUUUAUGCCACAAGAAAGCAUAUCGUUCAUUCACUAAACUAUGUUUAGUGCCAACAUUAUGAUGCAGAGUUAAAACAGUUUCAGCAUACAAACUGUCUAUUUCCAAUUUAUAUAAACCAUCACAAGAAUACCAGUACCAAUGAGAUGAUUAUGCUUAAAUAAAUUGAAACAUCCAUUACCAAAAUUAAAAGAGUAUGCAGUAACUUCAAGUUUAGAUAAUGAAACUAAAUUCCUAGAUAAACUAGGUACAUAAGGAGUUUCCAGUAAAUCUAAACGAUGUCCAGUGUUGCGUUUUAAAUAAUAAGUUUCAACUAUUUCCACUAGAGCUUUCACUUCAUUCCCUAUGAAAAUGAACUUCUCAUUUGAGCUUAUGGUUUGGAUUGUAAGGAAUCUCUGCAUAAUGUUAGAAACAUGAGUCAUACAUCCAGAAUUAAUCCAUCAUGUAUCAUGGGAAACUACAGUUAAGUUUGAUUUAAAACAUACAUGAGUAUUAAGCUCACCAUUCUUUUCGAACCAAGACUUACAUUUUAGACAAUCCUUUUGGAAAUGUCUUAAUUUCACAAAAUUGACAAUUAUUGCCCUUUGAUACCUUUCUUCUGGAUUUGCAAAGAGUCGUCAUUAUUCUUUAAUGACCCUUUGCCUUUAUCAUGCUUCUUCAUAAAUUUCUUUUCAAGCUCCUUGAUUCCCUUGAUGGCUAACAUAAUGGACUAAGUGACUUCCUUGAUUCUUAAGCCUCGUUUCUUUCUGAACUAACAUACUGUGCAAUUCAUGCACAUUCCAUUUAUCUUUCAUGGUAUUAUAGUUCAUUUAGAACGGGCCAAACUCAGACGGUAAUGAGUUUAGAAUAAACUGAACAAGAAAGUUCUCAUUCACAGCCAUUAUAUUCCCAAGGUCUUAAGUCUUGCUGCAAUGUUUGUCAUCUCAAUGACAUGUUCAUACAUAGUACGUGAACCAUUAAACUUCAUGGUGGUCAAUGUACUCAUUAAUGUCCCAACAACAGACUUAUCAGCUGUUUGAGAAUACUCUCCUACUAAUCCCAUAAAUUUUUUAGCACUUUCGAUUUUAGGGAGAGUUGUCUUAAUACUUUCUCAACAUUAGGCUGAGUCUGUUAGAUCUUUCCCAAGUUUUAUAAUGAACUUUCUCUUCACUGCUACUAACAUCAAUAAUAGUAACAAACUUCUCUUCCAACAUAGCAAGAUCAUGAUCCAAAACACUAAGGUGAAAUUGAACUUGCUCAUUUCUGUCAGAGAAGUUAAGCCCAUUAAAAUUGGCUCAGAUGAUACAUAAGAAUCCAAUGAAUUCAAAACAUGUAUUACAUAAUAAAAUUCACAUAAGUGUUUUGAGACAUAAAAUACAUGUCAUACAUAUAAUUCAUUCAGAUAACAGUCAAUGUAUAUUGAUGUUCUCCUUUGGGUGAUACAUCAACACACAACAUACAAACAUAAUGAUGCUAAUAAAAUUUUAACAUUAUUUGGCAAUUAAAUAUGCACCAAUUAGUAGUAUCUAUUUCCUUUGGGCAUAUAAAUAAAACUAAUGAUACACACAAAUCGCCUACAAUUAUAUUCACUAAUUAUAAGAACAACUAAUCAGCCUUUGGGCGAUCCAUAAAUGCCUUAUAACAAUGAAUUUCAAUUACCCAUAAACCAAUAACCAUAUAAUUUAGCAUCCAUUAUUCUAUGAGUAAUCAAAAUAAUCAUUAAUUUUGGAAUUAAAUAACCUUACAAAUUUGGCCACUUUGGUGACUAACAAAUUCAACAUACAUUUAAUUCCAACCAAGUAUAAUUGAAAUAAUCAUUAAUUUGAAAUUAAAUAACCUUACAAAUUUGGCCACUUUGGUGACUAACAAAUUCAACAUACAUUUAAUUCCAACCAAAUAUAUAUGGCCUGCACAUACUUAUUGCUAUUAACAAUUCAUAGUCAUUCUAUUAAUUUCAUUCCAGACCAUAAAAUAAUAUUUGCAUUUAUUUGUGUUUUUACAUUCAAACACGUUCAAGCUAUGUAGCAUAUACAUAUAUUUACUGUUACCAAUAAUUGUAAAAUAUUCACAUUAAUUUAAUUGCAGAACAUAAACUUUCAAUCCUUUAAUCACGUUCAACAAUAACUUUUUCGAAAGAAAAAAAAUAAAAAAUAAAAAUAAGUGGGAUUGAAAAUAGCAAACAUAAGGUUGCAAAUAGCAAUUUUCAAAAUUUCUUAUAGGAACAAACAUACCUACGCAGCGCGCAACUUUUCAAAAUUCCUUCACUUACUAAAUAGAUAGUGGCAACUCACAGCUUUCUUUUUCCAUGAAUUGGAAUUGCAACUCACGCUUUCUUUUUCCAUUAUAAAUAGAUAGUGGCAGCCACAAUAGUUUUCUCCAAAUUUACAUAAUAUUUAUACUUUCUCCAAAAAUUGGUAUUCAACAAUAAUAAAAUAUUACCAAUAAAACAAUACAUGCAGCGGAAAAUAAAAUUCCUAAAUUUCAUAAUUAGGAUUUAUGCAUAAUUGGGAGAAAUUAAAUUAUCCCUAAAUUUCAUAAUUAGGGUUCAUACAUAAUUGAGAUAAAUUAAAUUAUCCCUAAAUUUCAUAAUUAGGGUUCAUGCAUAAUUAAGAGAAAUUAAAUCAUUCUUGGAGAAUCAUAAAUUUCAUAACACAUGCUCUGAUAUCACAUGUAAAAAUUCUUAAGGGGUUUCCUAGACUAUCAAUGAUAGGAAACAAUAGGAUCUUGAAACCUAUGGUUCUCACAAACAAUCAAUAAACAACAAUAGAUAAUGAUGUGUACCUUUCUCCAUAGGAAGACUUGUACCUUUCUCCAUAGGAACUUCUCUCUGGUGCACUUUGAUCUCCUUGGAAAAUGAGAGAAAUAAGAUUUCACUUCCUUUGGCCUUUCUUUUCUGCCUCUCUCCGUUAGUGAUGGCUAUGAGUGAGAGAGAACACUUUUCUGGUCAGGAAGGGGACCUUAUUUUACGUUAGUGGGUAUUAAGCCCCUUUUAUAACCACUACUCCCAUCAAGUAGCAGUCAACCCUAGAAACUUCUCCUAUUAAGCCCAAUUACAAUUUAGUCCUUAAUCGUUAAUUAUUUACUUAUUAGUCCCUACAUAAGUCACAUGCCUCUCACAUGAGACAUAAAUUCUAACAUCUUGUGCUUACGUAUGCUGUAUCCAUGUUAAGUUGCCCACCACAUUGAAACUCAAAUUCAGUCCAACACUAAAGGCCUCUAAGUAAUCUGAGAUUGGUUCCAAUCUAGUUCUGCUUGGUUGUUGCAGAAGAGAAGUGAGAUUGCGUUUCACAGCUUAUUUAACUUUGAUUGUGUUAUGCCAAUUGUUGAGUAUCUAACCUUUGAAUUUUUGUAUAAAGGAAAACAAGUGCAUGAGUCCCAUAGCUAUACUCCAGCUACCUAAGGGUCAAGUGAGUUUUAUAUUCCUAUUUUCUGUUAUGUGUUUUUGUUGGCUGAUCACUUUCAGUGCUUGAAUGACUGAAUGAGCAUGCCAUGCCUGAAGUAAUUGUUUAUGUGGCUGAUGUUUGUUUGGUAAAGAAUUGUUUCUAGCAUCCCUUCGUCUACAUUAGUACUUCUUUUGUCAUUCUAUGUAUGUUGUGUAUGAUAUCAUUCUUAUUUCUUAUCAUAGACAUUGGCAAAUGGCAAUUUUAGUUUGUUGGACAAUUUUGUAAUUAUUAUUAUUAUUUUUCUAAUUUUUUGUUUCUCGGAUAUUAUUGGCUGGAACAACCUUUGUGGAACUAGUAGGUCCAAUCCAAGAUAAAUAUCUAUUUAUCUCCUUCUUUUUUUAAUUUGAAGAAGCAUAUUAGUGUCUGUGUGUGUUUCAGUUAGGGUAUUUUUUUUUUGUCAUAUAAAAUAGUACUAACGUGUAUGUUGAAGAAUAACAUAUAAUGUCUUAAGAUUGAAUCAAGAAAUAGCCUAGUAAUAAUUUUGAUUAAACACUUUGAAAAUGUUAGCUCUUUUGGUCCUCUGUUCCAGUUUGAUAUUUUUGUUAUUAUUUUUCAAAUUACAUUCCACUUACUUUAUACAUGAUCGGAGACUUUGAAAGGCUUAUUUGUCACCCGUAAUUGAAGUUUGCUACACGGACAAUAGUGUACCAAGUAUCAACACUUACCUCGUUCUUCUGUGCCCAUUAAAUUUGUAUGUGUAUGCGGUUGAGUUCCUAGUUUGUUUAAUUUCUUUAUUAGUUUAAUUAUUAUUUUGAUCGUGAUUAUAGUGUAAACUUUAUUGGUUUUACUCUAUACAUAAAGGUUAUAUUUAACAAACAAGUCAUUUUUACUAUUUUAAUCGAGUCUGCCAGAUUUUUAAACUGCUAGUAUAAAUUAUCAUUUUAGUGGUUUCAAGUUAUCAUAAACUAAUCUUAAGGACAUGUUUUUCUAGUUUAGGAAUUAAAUUAAAAAAUAUUAGUUUAACGAGAUGCUUAAAUUUUUUUAAUAUAAUUUUAGGAUGAACUAAGUAAUUUAACUUAUAAUUAUACAUAAUAAAAUGAAAAUUGUUUAUCGUGGGCCGUAACCCUAACAUACAAAUUGCCUAGUUUGGUUGAUUGCAAUGAUUUGAUACAAACCAAGCCCGAAUUAUAAAGGACAUGUCAGGAUAGCAAAUUCGUCGUAUUAAUUGUUUAAACAUAGCCAUAGACUAUAAACAUAUUUAGUUCAGUUAAUUAUCUUAUAAGUUUUACAUGCAGUUUAAGUUUCAAGAUAUGCUGUAGAAAUUUUUACUUUUCUAUUAUUUUGUUUCAACUGGCGUGGAAAGACUGUUUUUUUCAUAAAAUAUUAUUGUUUAAUAAAUAUAUUUAAUGAAUAAUUAACUAAGCAGAUUAUAUGUUUAUUAUGCAAUUUUGAUAAAAAAAAAAAAAAACAAAUUAGUAGACAUAAGUUGAAUCAUUGUCUUAAUCAUUUUCUUUUUCCUUUUUUUUAUUAAUAAAUAUAUGUUACAAAUUUCAUCACUUGGUAAAGGAAUGAAAGUUAACGAUCAAUCUCUAAAUACGAUUUGAGAUAUCAAUAUUAAUAUAUGUCAUCUUCAAGAUAUCAAUAGUAACGUAUGCCAUCUCAAUCUUCUUUUGACUUUUUUUUUUUACUUUUGAUUUUCAAUUCAUUUACCACUUAAUGUUUAUUUUAUAAUGUUUGUUAAUAGUCAGAAGAGUUUGGUCGAUGUGCAUGCAAAUUCAUUUACAAAAAGAUACUGGUCAAUUUAUCGAUGAUAGAUCUAUGCAGAUACAUGUGAGACCAUUAUCUUGCAUAUUUUUUUAUUCUUCAAAAUGUUUAUUAUAUUUAUGAAAUAAUAAUUGUUUAUAAAUGACAGAAAGAAUUUGAGGUUAGACUAUCUCAAGCUAGAUCUCAUGUUGCAUAAGUGUUGGUGAAUCACAAUUCACUCCUUUAGACCCUGAUGAAGAACAAAAAUUUAGGAGUCAAUGUUGGAUUGCAAUUGCGAGACCAAAGCGUAAGGGACGCGUUUACGCUACUGGAGACCUUGCUCAUACUUAUAAAUGUGGAGAUGACAACUUCAUACAACAUAUGCAAGGAUCUUCCAGUCGCACCCAAGAUGCCAUAGAGAUUAAGCGACUGAGGGAGGAGCUUCGUCAAUCAAAGGACGAGAUGCAUGUAUUUCAGUCAGUUACCUCUUGAAGUGCAUAACAUUAUUCAUCAACAUCAACAACCUCACUAGCAACAUCAAAACCAACAACAAGAAGACAAUGAGCAGGCAGAUGACCAACAACAAGAUGAUGACCAACAGAGACACGCUCCCAAUGAAUAUUUUGAUUACUGACUUAACAUCAUAAAAUUGUUAUUGACAUAUUACAUUGUGUUUUUCUUUUGCAUUUAUUUUCAAUUUAACUUAAUGAUAUAUUUUACUAUUUGUUUUGGAUUUAUAAAUUUGAGUAUUCCAUUAAUUACAUGUAUGCAUUAAUUAAAAUUUUGGCGUUAAAUAAUAUAAAUACAAAAAAUAAUUGCAAAAUUAUUGAUGUUAAAUAAUAAAAAUGAAAAACAAAUAAAAUAAAUGAUUCUUUAUAAAAUGAUAUUUAUGACGGAAAGAGUCCAACCGGAUAUUUCUGUCGGAAAUUUCUAACGAACAACAAAAAUUCGUCAGUUAAAAUUUUCUACGACUAUUUUUUCGAUGGAUUUUGGUCCGUAUGAAAUUUUAAAUUACUGACGAAUUUUUGAGAUUUUCGUCAGAAAUUCGCUUUUUUUGGGAGUGAUUGUAUGUAUCUUUUUGUAUGAAAAUUAACAAAUAAAGAACAACAAGAACUUGCAUAUCAUUCUGUUAUUAUCUGUGGUUCCUACUCCUUUAUGUCCGUCCAACAUUCUGCUAUGCUUUGGUAUGAGAGCCUGAUGGGGAAGUAGGAACGUUUUGCGUAGGGGAAUCUGUAUGCUGAUUUCAUGGAUUUGGAUGUUUGUACAAUAAUUUUAUUUUGAAUAUCAAAUAUUUUAUAUAGCAACUUUAAACUGAACCGUAUGUGUUUGAAUCAUAUUCUUAGAAAUACAACAAUUAAAAUUUUAGUUGGAUGAUACUGUAGCAGUAAAUCUCGUAGAUGAGAAAAGACAAUAAAACUAAGGUAUAUAUAUAUAUAUAUAUAUAUAUAUAUAUAUAUAUAUAUAUAUAUAUAUAUAUAUAAAGUAUUUAUUUAAAUAAUCUAGUAUUUAUUUCGUUAACCAACCUUAGGAGUGUUUAGUCUAAUUUUCUUUUUUUUUUUACGAAAUUGUCAUAAAAUAUGAUCAUGUAAAAGUUAAUGUCUAUAUCUUUUUGUAUAAAAAUUAACAAAUAAAGACCAUCAAGAUUUUUUGAAUAUUUAUGAAAACCGUUCGUUAACUAACUCUAAAGCUAUUAUAAGGUAAACAAAAUAUUAAAAGAGAAUGUAUUUAUUAUAUUAAAAAUAUGAAAAUAUUUAUUUUUUUAAGUAACAAAAAGUAUUUAUGUAAAUAAAGUAGUAUUUAUAUCAUCAACCAACCUUAGUGUAAUUUGUUCAUUUAACUUGUCAUAAAAUAUGAUCAUGUAAAAGUUAAUGUCUAUGUAUUUUUGUGUGAAAUUUACAAAUAAAGACCAACAUUGCUUAAAAAACUAAAGUAAAGACCAACAAGAUUUUGAGAAUAUUUAUGAAACCCGUUUCGUUAACAAACUCUAAAGCUAUUAUAAAUUGCAUACAGAUUAAAUUGAAGGACUAAACUUUAGUUAAAAAAUAUCUUUAUUAGAAUUAUGAAGACCACAAGAUUUAGUUGAUUUUCAGAAUUUAACACGUUUAAACUAAUAGUCAAUUUUAUUGUAUACAUAUUUCGAAAUUAUUUUGUAUUAAACAUUAGAAAAUUUACGAAAAUAAAAAUGAAAAAAAUGAAUUAAAUAUUAGAAAAAGUAUGAAAAUAAAAAUGAUAAAAAAAAUGGAAUCAUAGCACCCAGAGAUGGGUACUUUCGAAAAAUAUAACAUUUGAUUAUCUACUGAAUAAAUUGUCCUUUUAGUUGUUGAAGUAUCAACUGAAUGUAUUGUGUUUUCAAGUUUUUUAAGUAUUUAUCAAAGGAUUUGUGAAUAUUUUUGCAUGAAAAUUAACACAUGAAAGACCAACAAGAAUUUGUGAAUAUUUAUGAAAACCAUUUCGUUAACCAACUCUAAAGCUAUUAUAAAGUAAAAAAUAUAUAUUUAAAGGGGAAUUAUUUAUUAUAUUAAAAAUGUGUAAAAUAUUUAUUUUUUAAGUAACAAGAAGUAUAUUUGUAAAAUAAUUUAUUAACAUUUGAUUAUCUACUGAAUGAAUUGUCCUCUUAGUUGUUGAGGUAUCAACUGAAUGUAUUGUUUUAAGUUCUGGAAGUAAUUAUAGGCUAAAUAGCCGUCGAUCAUUAGUGUAUUCUUUGAGCCAUAAAAUCAAACGAUGUGAGCAAUAUUUCAUAACACUAAAUUAAUACCAGCCAAAAUAUAUAUUCAUGAAACAAGACAUGUAAAUAUUACAAUGGAGUGUACAACUUUUGGUAUUGGCACCUGUCACCUAAUGAAAAGACUCUUCUACCCUCUAGUUCAAAAUUUUCACCCCUCCCUCUUCCUUCUCUCUACCCGAGCCCCCCACCUUUCCUGGCACCCUCCACUUCUCCUCCCCUUCUUUGCACACAAACCCCAAUCCUUCUCCCUUCCCGACUUCUGUCCGCUAUUUCUUCAAUGGAAUAAGAAUUUCAUUUAUUCUUUUGAAAAAAAAAAUAACAAAAUCUCGAUUCCAUUAUAUAUUUUGACCUAAUAAAAUCAUAAUUUUACUAUUUGCUUUUUUUAUUUUAAAAACCGCUACAAAAAUUUUGUUUUCAAUAAUGAUUUCAUUAUUUUUUUUCUUUACCUCAAUAUAAUCAUGAUUAUAUUAUAUUGAAAAAAAAAAUUCAAAACAAAAUCACAAUUCAAUUUUACCAAGGGAUACAAAAAUAAAAAAUAACAAAAUCAUAAUUUUAUCAUUAUAAAAAAAUAUACAAUAAAUUCAUAAUUUUAUUAUUUUAAAAAGAAUACAGAAAUUAUCACAUAAUAGAUUCAUAAUUUCAUUAAUUUAUAUAACAAAAUCAUAAUUUCAUUAAUUUGUAUAACAAAAUCAUAUUUUCAUCAAAUAAAUUUUUGAAAUAAAAAAAAUAUAUCAACCCAUUGCGAGAAACUAAGAACAAAUGAGAUGCGAUCAAUAACAAUUCCCGUAUUACAAGCACAACAACUUGGUCUCAGACAUCAGAAUCAACUUGCUCCGUACGACGUCUCACUUAAAAUCCAAAUCCACACAAGAUUUGAAUUAAAUCCUCUUUACAACUCGGCAUCCUUAAUCGGCAAUAGAACUUAAUAAGACCAUACAUACCACGUUUUAUGCAUUACUUACAAAUGCAAAACUGAUAGCUCGAUUGUAAUUGUUUAGUAAUUAGUUACUACGGGAAAUUGUCACAUGUUACCCAAGCAAUUGAACGGCAUGCAGAUAACAUGAACAACACGAACAAAAUACAAUAAUUAAUCAGGAAAUCGCAAUAGCUAUAGACGGUAAGAACGAAGUUAGGUCCGAAAGAUCACUAUCAUUAUCGCUGAACAAUGUUAUUUAACAAAAGUAUCAACCACAAAUAAAAACAACAACCCAACUUCCCAAUCAUCGUCACGUCCAGCAAAAUACAUUCAAAAGCUAUCUAAAAUCUGGGGAACCCACAUUGGCAUUAAAAACCAUGACCAUACAAUUUUUUAGAGAAAUAU